CAUGCAACGAAAGAUGCAAAUGUGAGUAUCUUUACCAGAGGUCCAGAGGACUAUGCUGAGAAGCUCUAUGCACAGAAAAGUGGCACUGAGGAGUCAGAUAUGGAACUUCCUGAAGUCAAGGACUAUAAAACUAGAAGACUGCUUGGAGAUGAGGACAUUGAGCAAGAGGUUUAUGGAAUUGACCCCUAUACUCACAAUCUUCUGCUUGAUUCCAUGCAAAAGGAGUUAGAUUGGCCUCUCCUGGAGAAGCAUUUGUUUAUUGAAGAUGCGCUCCUUCGUACUUUGAAUAAGCAAGUUAGGAACUUCACUGGGACUGAGAGUGGAAACACUCCCAUGAUGUAUUCAUUGCAGCUUGUUAUUGAAGAAAAUGAAAAACUUUCUGAGGAUCGUGAUAUAAAAGCUGUGAAAAUGUGUCAGGGUAUUCUGAAGGCCAUUGAUAGUCAUCCUAAUGACAGAUAUGUUGCCUACAGAAAGGUAUACACAUCAUUUUUUUUUUGGAUAAAGGUAUACACGUCAUUAUUUUGCUGCAUGAGCAUGUACUAUAAAUUUUCCUCUCUUUUGGACGUGUUUCUCUCCUUGACUUGUUCCCUACUUUUCUGAUACUGAUUUCCCCCAUUCUUUUGUUGUCUAUUGGGUUGUGUUUUUUCUGGGGCUUGGUGUUGUUUGCAACAAAGAAGGUGGUUUGGGAGCAGCUGUUGAUAGGAUCCAAUUUCUAGCUUUAGUAGAGUUCUUUAUAUGAUGUUGAAACUUUUUACCCCUUCUGCCCCCCACCCCCCCAACAAAAAAAAAUGUAGGGUUGUCCUUUCUGGAAAUCUUUCGAGAAGCAAGAUGGGAUCGAUCUAUGCAGAAGAAUAGUAAAGAUACUGCUUCAGAAUUUUACAACAUCUAUCUCAAAAGGCAAAGGAUGAUGCUGAUGGGUAUGAUUUGGUUGGUAUUGAUGCUAUGCAUAAGGCAAACUAUGGAGUUUAAUAUGUCAUUCGUGCCGUCCAAAUUGUGAAGCAAAGUGAGUUCUGUUGUCAUACACUUUUUGUUGUUUAUAACCUACCUGCAGACCUUCCCUUAUGUACUCUUGACAAGUUCUUAUAGUAUUAUGGAACAUGACAAAACUGAAUUGAUCUCAUAUUUUAUUUUGGGACUGGACAUAUUUGGCAUUAUAAUUUAUAAGCGGGACACAAAUUUCUCAUGGUUGCUUUAUAAUAAUGUAAAUGUGGUGAAACUGUUACUUUCAUCACUUGAAUUUCUUCACUCGGAGCGUUAGUCAUUAUGUGAAGACCAGAUCAUCUAAUCAAAUAUAAAUGUUAUAUUAGCAAAUUUUCUCCUGAAGAUUCAGCUUUAGAUGCUAGAUUGUUUACUAAUACUAUAACUUGUUUAUGGGUGGAAUCAUGCCAUGCGUAAUCAUACUUUACCUCUCUACUUUCUUUUCUUCUUUUUAUAUAAUUGUUUUAUCUCACAGAUUAUGAAUAUUACAAUUUACUCAUCUUAUAUAUGAAUUGCCUCGUUUAGUUAUAUAAUUGUGAGUGAACCUAGUGUUUGAUCAUCCUAUAAGUUUAUCUGUGAAUGCAGAUUUACUACUGUUGAUGUUCAUUACUAGAUUGGAAUCUAUUCUGUAUGUAAAAUUCAAUAUGGUGAGGAGAUCACAUUUGAUUAUAACUCUGUUACAGAGGUGUGUCUCUUGCAUUUUUGUCUUCUGUACUCUCUAAAGACUAUUAUACAUAUUAUCAAAUAAUUUCUCUCUUAAUUUUGCUAGAGUAAAUAAGAAUAUGAUGCGUCACUUUGUUUGUGGCAGUCAAUUUUUCCAGCGCAGCUACUUGAAUCUAACAGGCAAAGGGGCUUUUCAAAAGGUUCUAGAUGAAUGGCAUAGAAUUCUGAACUGUCAUCAGUUAAUGCUUAAAGCUUGCAAACUAAAUUUGGUAUCUAAAGAGAAUUAUCUUGACUUGGGGAGGGCUGGUUUAGGCAGUUGCUUGCUGGUUGGGUUGCCUGAUUGGGUGGUAGCCUAUUCAGCUUGCCUGGUAGGUUUAUGACUUUUGAAAGACCAAAGCUGCCAGCGGAGAUUCUAAAGCAUAGUUUGGUGGGAAAAAGGAAGUAUUUUUCAUAUAUAUGUCUUGAAGUUGAGAAGAGUGAUGCUGAGGUUCGUAUCUUUUUGCAUGAGACAGGCUGAGGGUGUCUACAAUCAAAGGCUUCAGAAUUUGGUGAGGAAUGUUAUGAGAUGCAUUUUUGUUGACCCAAAGGAAGCACCACCCCCUCUGGAGAGGCUCUGAGCCCUGUAGGCUGUAGCAAUUGUUUUCUUACUCUGGAAAGAAGAGGGAUAAUUUGUUGAGGAGGUUCUUCAAUGCAUCGCUCCUCAUGUGGAAGAAGGCAUAUUAAAUGAUCUCAAGUCCAAGAUUCAUGCUCAUGAUCCAUCAGGAAUAUAAAGCUGCAACUUCUCCACCAGCUUACAUUAGUCCACUUGGCUUGGGUCCAGGUGCCAAGGUUUGGAAACCCUCACGGCAUCGUGUUUAUGGCCCAAGGAAUGAGAUUUAUGCUGGCAAGAAUGGAGAAGCAGCCCCAGAGGCAAUGGCCAUGAUAAGGGGAGGGAAAGCAUAGCCGUGGAUCAAAUGUGAAAAUGUUUUGUUGGCCAUAAUAAUAGCAUAAGAGCAAUGUAGCAUUAUUAAUUGGAUAAGGGAAAUAUUAGGCUUGUAAGUUGUAAUUGAUCAACCUUCGUUUCGUCAAUUUAGUUGAUCAGAUUUGGUUGGUGAUGUAUGUGUGCAUGACUUUAUUAAUUGUGUGAAAGAAUGACACAUUGACGGACGCUGUCUCUCACCAAAACAUUCUUUUGCUAUAUUAUUAAGACUAUAGUUUAUGAAGAAUUAAUGUCGUCUGACCCCAUGACAUGUGUUUGGUGCCUUUGGACCCUGGUUUAAUAUGGGUU